AGAUCAGCAGGGGUCACGCCCUCAUCUCCAUCACCCACAGACCAAUUUGGGGGUGGAGCCCAGGAAUCUACGUUUUCAACAGGAUUCGAAGCAGCGUUACCAACCUCUGAUAUGGAGACGUGUUUAUUAUUUUUACGGUUUCUGCAGCAAGCUCCCCGGAACUCGAAGGGGAAUUAUAUUCAGAGAGAAUCGAGUCCCCAGCAAGGACACUCCCUCUUCCAAAGGUCUGCCAGUCUGAUCUCUGCAGCCCAGAGAGGUUAAGUGAUCAGAUCCAAGUCACACAGCACCACAGACAAGGUGAAAUUCAAAUCUGAUUCUCA